UUCCAAAUGAACAAGGGAAAUGCUCCAUCUCUUGAUGACAUUUUCAAAGCAAGAUUGCAUACCCUUCUGGAACAAAACUUUUGCUAGAACCAGACUUUGAAAAAAAUCACCACAAGCCUUUGUAUGUUUUCAUAUGAAAUUCUUCACCCCCUCUUUUUCAGAGAGAGAAAAAGUUCUCUCAUUAAUGAUUGUGAGAGGCACAAGCAUAAUCUUUGCUCAACUGCUCUCAUACCUCCAAGUUUCUUCAUGUUCUCAACAGCCUUUUUGCACCUUUUUCAAAGUGAAAUGAAAUGCCAUUGCC